GACGAACGCUGGCGGCGUGCCUAAUACAUGCAAGUAGGACGCAGUUGCGAACGGGUGAGUAACGCGUAGGUAACUAUCUAUUAGAGGGGGAUAACUAUUGGAAACGAUAGCUAAUACCGCAUACUAGUAGAUGGACCUGCGUUGUAUUAGCUAGCAGGUUGGGUAAUGGCCUACCUAGGCAACGAAACAUAGCCGACCUGGAGGGGUGAUCGGCCAACAUUGGAAUGGGACACGGCCCCAGCUCCUAAGGGAGGCAACAGUAGGGGAACUUCGGGAAUGGGGGGAACGCUGGCCGGGCCAAGGCGGGUGAGGGAAGGAGGUUUUCGGGUCGUAAAGCUCUGUUGGUAAGGGAGCGGUACUUAACCAGAAAGGGACGGCUAACUACGUGCCAGCAGCCGCGGUAAUAC
rnacentral:rRNA from 1 species